rnacentral:rRNA from 1 species
UCAAGUGAAGAAGCGCAUACGGUGGAUGCCUUGGCAGUCAGAGGCGAUGAAAGACGUGGUAGCCUGCGAUAAGCUUCGGGGAGUCGGCAAACAGACUUUGAUCCGGAGAUCUCUGAAUGGGGGAACCCACUCAGCAUAAGCUGAGUAUCUUGUACUGAAUACAUAGGUGCAAGAGGCGAACCAGGGGAACUGAAACAUCUAAGUACCCUGAGGAAAAGAAAUCAACCGAGAUUCCCUUAGUAGUGGCGAGCGAACGGGGACUAGCCCUUAAGUGGCUUUGAGAUUAGCGGAACGCUCUGGAAAGUGCGGCCAUAGUGGGUGAUAGCCCUGUACGCGAAAAUCUCUUAGUCAUGAAAUCGAGUAGGACGGAGCACGAGAAACUUUGUCUGAAUAUGGGGGGACCAUCCUCCAAGGCUAAAUACUACUGACUGACCGAUAGUGAACCAGUACCGUGAGGGAAAGGCGAAAAGAACCCCGGAGAGGGGAGUGAAAUAGA